AGUGAACGCUGGCGGUAGGCCUAACACAUGCAAGUCGAACGGCAGCACAGUAAGAGCUUGCUCUUACGGGUGGCGAGUGGCGGACGAGUGAGGAAUACAUCGGAAUCUACUUUUUCGUGGGGGAUAACGUAGGGAAACUUACGCUAAUACCGCAUACGACCUACGGGUGGAAGCAGGGGAUCUUCGGACCUUGCGCGAUUGAAUGAGCCGAUGUCGGAUUAGCUAGUUGGCGGGGUAAAGGCCCACCAAGGCGACGAUCCGUAGCUGGUCUGAGAGGAUGGACCGCCACCCUGGAACUUAGACACCGUCCAGACUCCUACGGGAGGCAGCAGUUGGGAAUUUUUGACCAUGGGCGCAAGCCUGGUCCAGCCAUACCGCGUGGGUGAAGAAGGCCUUCGGGUUGUAAAGCCCUUUUGUUGGGAAAGAAAAGCAGCAGGUUAAUACCCCGCUGUUCUGACGGUACCCAAAGAAUAAGCACCGGCUAACUUCGUG
rnacentral:rRNA from 1 species